AGUUCGCAUUCAGAAAUCUGAAAAACCACCCUAUCCAAAACAAACCAUUCCGACACGUGUAUCGAGAAUCACGCAGAAACAACUUUCUGUUUCAUUUUUCAACUCCGUCACCGCGUUGCUCGGUGUGUAUUGUCUCUUGGAGUCCAGACGUUCUAAUUUUUUAUUGUGCAAUGCCCACUCGUGGUAUAUGUUAGCAUUAAUUUGUAUAAUGGUAAGGAAAAGAUCACUACGCAACUACUUUUAAUUCUUAUACUGGACGUUCAGUAAAGAAAAAAAAGGCUUUAGAUAAAACAUGUAAGUUACUUCUUCGUGCCAGAUGGUAUCAGCACGUGUUAUAAUUGAUAAUUCUGAUGUCUUUCAAUCCUGAACAAUUGGGAAAGGAAUAAAUAACCGAGAAGACAUACCGGUUUUUUGAGGACUAUCGACCCUACAUGUUCAACCUUGGAUAUUAUAUGAUCAAACCUAGAGACCGGUUAUGUAAGAAUCCGGUUGACGACCUCUCCCCGUGCCUCUCUAUCGGCGUUAUGAGGAAUUGAAAUCUUAUAAAUCGUUUACACAGUUACAGCUGUACAGUCAAUGCUGAACGGACUUUGUAAGCGUGACACAAUUAGAUAGAAAAAAAAAAAAAAAUGCAUCACCACGAACAAUGCGUCAAAAUGGCAAACACAACCGUGCACAACAACUUUGACCCCUGAGCUUGGAACCUGAGUCAAAUAUUUGAAUUGUUCGAAGCAUACGAAUCGAUAUCGUCAGUAUCGAUUGUGCUAGCUGAUCAAUUAGGCCAAUGCAUUUGUUACGUUCGAUGACAACCGUCUGAUACUCGUGCAGACUGUAGGAAAAAUAGACAGAUAAACGAAACAGCUUGGCUCUAAUGAUGAUGCUUCGGAGAACAUGUGAUCUCUUCAACGCGAUGCGCAACAGUAUCUAUGUGUCAGCAACUCACUGAUCAUACCAACAGUUGCUACUUUUUUUUCCUUCUCCGUUAUUCAUUUUUAGUUUUCCAGUUUUUCCACGGUAGUUUCUGUUUCGGAAUUUUUUCGAAAUGAAACGACCGUUUCACCUCGAGGAUCACUCUGUAAUAAUGCAAAAACCGGAACACUGCAGCGUAGAAUAAUUUGGCGCAGAGACCAAAAACAGAUGACAUUUCUGGUUAACACGAUUAUGGCCGGUCGACAACUAAAUAUGACGUCACCGACUCAUCCGUACAAGUUAUAAUAGCGACAACAUUGAACAAAGAACAUUCCUCCCAUCUACAUUGAUCGUUAUCCGAAGGACUUGGGAUAUUACGACAAUGAGGAACAUAUGAGAAAUUCAUCGGGAAUUUUUAGAAUCGAUUUUGUUUGUGAUAACAAUGUGGGCAGAAGUGCGUAAAGAUUAGCUCGGUAGCAAAGUACAGUAGCUCGUGUUUCCGUCGCCGUCUUCUAUGGUCAUUGAAAUCUACGUCAUAUUUGUUGCGGCUAAAUUACCUUCUUCUUAAGCCGAAGGGAUCAUGCCCUUGGUGAAAAAACAAUUUGUAUACGGACAUCUUGAUUCUUUUCACUGGGAAAUUAAUCAGCGUCAUUGGCCACGGGUUGAUAAUGACUAUGAAGAUAAAUACGAAGUGCGAUAUGAAUAUAUAUCUAUGUAGUAUACAUAAAACAUUAUUAUAGCUUGUGGAUACUACAAUAAGUUCAUAUAACAUUCUCUACCUAUAAUUCAAUCCACUUUUAUAAACGAGUGUUUAUUACAGCCUAUUUAAACAUUUCUAA